rnacentral:rRNA from 1 species
AAAGUUGCAAAGCACUUUGAAGAGAGAGUUAAAAAGGACGUGAAACCGAUGAGGUGGAAACGGACAGAGCCGGCGUAUCUAACUCGCAUUCAGCCAUUUGCCAUGUGCGAUUGGGUAUCCAUUUCCAGAUUGGGAUGGCGCCUUUUCUGCAUGUGACAUUGUGGUGCAUUUGCGGGUGGAGUGCGCUGAGCCGGUCGAGCCAGCUGCAUGAGCCUGACUUUGAGGCCAGCCCUUCGGGAACUGGUACCCGAGUYGGGGGAAUGCUGUUUGGCUUGGCUGUUCGGGGAAUGGUUAUCGGGCCCAGCUGGGCGCCGAGCUGGAUGUYGGAAGCGGUCGCUUGCGACACGUGCCAGCAGUCAGUUCGGUCCURGUUGAGCUCUCAACACCCUGUCCUCGGUGUAAAAGCUGGUCAUCUGUCCGACCCGUCUUGAAACACGGACCAAGGAGUUUAGCGUGUGCGCGAGUCAUUGGGUGUUCAAAACUCAAAGGCGCAAUGAAAGUGAAGGUCUCCCUUGCGGAGCUGACGUGUGACCCGGGCCACUGCGGUGGCACGGAGCAACAUGGUCCCGUCCCGACCGCUUGCGGUGGGGCGGAGACAGAGCGUACGCGCUGAGACCCGAAAGAUGGUGAACUAUUCCUGAGCAGGACGAAGCCAGAGGAAACUCUGGUGGAAGUCCGAAGCGAUUCUGACGUGCAAAUCGAUCGUCUGACUUGGGUAUAGGGGCGAAAGACUAAUCGAACCAUCUAGUAGC